UACGUAGGGACCAAGCGUUGUUCGGAUUUACUGGGCGUAAAGGGCGCGUAGGCGGCCUAGCAAGUCACUUGUGAAAUCUCCGGGCUUAACUCGGAACUGCCAAGUGAAACUGCUGGGCUAGAGUGCAGAAGGGGCAAUCGGAAUUCUUGGUGUAGCGGUGAAAUGCGUAGAUAUCAAGAGGAACACCUGAGGUGAAGACGGGUUGCUGGGCUGACACUGACGCUGAGGCGCGAAAGCGUGGGGAGCAAACAGG
rnacentral:rRNA from 1 species